GGAUCUUUGCUGAGAAAAGCAUAAUUUACCUUGAACUCUCUCAGUACUGUGUGGUACUGUGACAGAGAGGGCUGCUAAUGAUGCAAAACCCUGCCCACAGCCUUGAUCUUUACAAGUUGGCUGCAUGCACACACAUGUGAAAUGCUGCUUCAGCUGUUUUUUUAACGAGAGGAGGGAACCCAAGAAUGAAGAGGGCUCACUUGCACACCCCUCUGCCAACCUGCUGCUUUGUGAGACCUGAAGGCUACUGCAGAGCAUUGGAGUCGGAUACAAAACCACUUGGAGUGCAUCCCUCAUCGCCAGACAGAUCCUGCAGGAAACCAAUCCCUGAGACCACAAGAUGAAGCCCAGAGGCAGCUCACCAUGACCUUGCUCUCAGUGGUAUCUUCAAGAACAACUCUAAAAGGUGAAAGCUCUCAUGGUGCCUCAGUGCUGAAGUGGCAGGCAAACAUGGAGUGGUUGCUGCACCACCUCAGAGCCUGAACUCGCUAGUGCAGGAAAUGACUUUGCAGUGCCUGCCCUGCGCCACCACGGCUUCAACAAAAGGCCUGAGCAAUGUCGGCAGAGGAUGUAACUGGGGGAAACGUGCUCUGAGAAAUGUUCUUAUAUAUAGCAGAGAGGAAAGGAAUAGAGAAGUAAGAAAAAGACUGCGCUGUGGUUUUUAGGCUGCCAUUGCCCAACUGCCUUUGCACCGUGAGGUCCUCCUGCCAUGUGCCCUGUUCCUUCAUCGGGGGUGUGGAAGACAAGUAAUGCCGAUGCUUUACAGGAAUAACCUCUGAACCACACUACAGCAGCUUCAUCUUCAAGAAACAAAGUAAGAAAAAGGAUAAAUAAGUCCAGUACAGCACAGUUUCCUGCACUGCUAAGAUCUGUGAGUGUUCCAGCACAUGGGCUUGGGCACUACCAUGGGUCUGGCCCAUCGUAGCAGGAGAGAUCCACCUAGACCAGGUCAGCCAGAGAGCCAUUGUGAAGGGAAAGCAAACUUUAAAAGUAAAUGGGAUGAGUCAUGUUGCCUGUUGGCAUAAAUGCAAAACAUUUAGGAGCAGGAAGUGUCUUUGUUUUUGUGCACGGGAAUGUGCUUCGGGUCAGGUUAUCACUGAGGUGCAUUUCUGGCCAGCAAAAUAAGGGCUUGCUCCAGCAGCAAGACCAUCCCGCCUGUCAAGGAGAAGCAAUUUCAUGCAGUUCAGUGUCAGGUACCCAAGUCUUUGCUCUUUGUAUUUAACACUGUAUUUAACAACAUUGAAUCUGAAACCAGAAUCCUGCCACCUACUGCUCAUGGAAAUUCCAGAUGUGUUGUGUGCACAGCGGUCUCAACCCUAAAAACCUUAAAAACCCCAAAAACCUCAUCAAAGCUCUCCGGGACUGGUCAGCUCUGCACAGGCUGGAAAAAAUAUCUGUGAGCCAUCUCAACUGCCCUAUUGGGACCUUGAGCUGAUGUAACGAUGUCUGUGGCAGUGCUGGCUUUCUUGGAGAACAAAGUGCUGUUUCCUUUUGUGUGCUGAACAAACAAACAGUGUGUGGGAAUUGGUCCCAACAGAAAUACUUUUUUUUUUUUUUAAAUAUCCAAGUAACUUUUUUUCAGAACACUGACCUGUUUAUUGCUUGGGAAUGCCUGUGACUGCCUUCUGAAACUCAAAAAACUGCAGAGGUGUCCAUGGCAAGAAUAGAAGACUAUUGCAAUAAUACAAGGGAUGGUUCUGCAGUUAAAAUUAAGCACAGAAGUGUCUGAAAACUGUCAGUCUGCCUAGUGCCAGAAUUCAUUAUGAAUUUGGUUUUUAAUAUAGUUUAGGCUAGAAAUCAUGCUAAUUAUCUUUUCUCCUUUAAUUAAAUAAGAAGUCUGCCAUUAGCCUCUGCUUCCCAUAACUCAUGUUUUGGAUUGAGCUUCUCAUGCCUGGGAAAUGGGAGAACUGGAGAGAAACUGGGGAGAGAGACAAAGACGAGACUCUGAACUAUGUAACUAUCUUUGCUGCUUAUCUGUCUCCAGGUACUGGCUCAGUGAAACUUCCCACAUUAACAGUGUCUUUCAGCUCUUCUGUUCCAGCUGUCAGCUGCCCACUGCUUAACCAAGAAUUUGGAGGCAAAUUUCUUGCUGUCUUAUAAAUAGUCCACAUUUAAAGCCGUGGCCAGAGUAUACAUAGAUAGACUUUAAAUCUAGGGAAGGAAGGUAAGAGAGAUUUGUGGAGAUGAGGGAGGUGUAGUCUUGUGUAUGCAAAUUCUGCCUUGAAGCAUUUUGAUUCAUGUAGUAAAAUUGCUUCUAACAAAAUUAACUUUAUGUGGAUAUUGUUUGAAACAAGAAUUUCAAAUGUUAAGCAAUGAACAAUGCUACGGAAGGAUCACACAUACACUGAAGCUCUGCCCUAAUACUUGUUAUUUAUACUUCUGAAAACAACUUGAUGCAUAUAUGCUAGUUUGGUUUUUAGAAAUCUGAAUCAGUUUAAACCCUCUGUCUUCAUAAACCACAGUGGAAAAAUUAGGUAUGUGUAUAUAUUUUAAAAUGUUAUUAGAAAUAUAGACAUUGAGGUUCAAAGAGUUAAUUAAUAUUUAAAUUACUAUAUUUUAAAAAAUAAUAAACAAGACUAGUUGAACAGGUUUAAUAAGAGAAGAAGUCAAUUUAGUUGAAAGUAGAUAUACAGUGAUAGCAGCUCCUAAAGCCAAAAUACGUGAGCUCAUCUUUUGCUAGAUGCAUCAAGCUGAUUUCUUCAUUUAUCACUUCUGGUUUAGGCCUAAAUGUUUUGAGUAAUUACAUUUUUUUUUGUAGAAUAAGAUGAGAGGUGUGAGGAUAGCAGUAGCCCCAAAUACAAGAGAAAAUGAGUGCGACAUCAAAUAAAAUAAUUUCUUUGGUGUCUGUACUCACAUAAGAAAUCUAUCAUUUAUUCUAUAUAUCCCAGUGUUGGAAUUAUUUGUUACAAAUAGUUGUCCAAAUUUACCCAAAUUAUUUUCCCAGAAGUACAGUGCUUUCCCUCUUUUAAAAUUCAAUUAAAAAUAUUGCAGUGAAUUUUUAAUACCAUUUAGAAAACUGGAUGUGGGUGCAAUAUUCUGCCUUGAUGCAGGGCCUCACAUGCCACUGGCCUGGCCCAGUCAGCAGCCUCACUGCUCAUUCCUGCCUUGCUCCACACUGGUGGCUCCGAUGCUUGUUCCCUCCAGACCAGCAGCCUGUGGCCCUCUUCAGCUCAUUUUAAAAAGCCACUUCAAUAUUAGUUUCAUCUACUGCAGGGAGUUGUGCAAUCUGCCAGCCACAGGGACAAAAAUCAUGCAUUGGUUGCAAAACUAAUGCUGGAGAGUUAAUAUUUUUUUCACUCUUUAUAUAUAUACAUAUUUGUAUGUAUAUUAAAUAUACACAUGUGUGGACACACACAUAUACACGUAUACUUGUUUGUGUUGACACUUCAAAGCCUUUGGGUUCUAUCUGUUUUGCAUUUGCCAAGGCUUUUGUUGCUGUUUUUUUCCCAGGUACCAGAGUGUCUUAAUGAUUUAGGGAUGUAACAUUGUGCUAUAUGUGGGAAUUGAGGCCAAGCUUCUCUCUUCAUCCAGGGCAGGCUGUCACGCAGGAACCAGGAGAAGGUAUAUUCUGUCCCUCCCAUCCUGUGGGGAUCCCAGAUGGCUGCUGUGUCAGCUGAAGUCACUCUCUGCUCUGUAACCUCUUCCUGAAGACUAGAGGAUACAGGUUCAACAGCCGGAAGCCUUCUGGGAAACUGCUUGAGAAUCAGCAGGUACCCAGGAGGUGCAAGCGGCUUUUCUUUGUAUUUAAAGUAAUACAUUUAAAGUGUAAAGUUUUCUAUCUUCCUCUAAAUUAAAGCCACUUUCUGUUUUAACAUUUACAACUCUUUCAAGCACAUACCUCUGCCACAUACAAAUGUAUUUGUCCUAGAAAUCCUUAUGUGUUUUCCAUAAGCCUUCAGAAAAUCAACUGUUCCAAGGGCUUAACGCUGGAGUAAUUUAACAGCCGUGCUGCAAAAAUGGCAAGGUAAGCAGCCCAGCAGAAGAUACAGUAGCCAAAACUCUUAUCUCAGGACCCAUUGCUCGGAGAAUUGCAUCAACUUCCCCUAGUAAAUAAUGAGUCUUAUUUAUAAAUUCACAUACAAUACAGAAAGGAAGCUUGUUGCACUAUUGUGGAGAUCAAAGAUUCAACGUGGGGUUUUUCCUCCUUCUCCUGUUUGGAGAACUAAAGUCAGUUUGUAUGUAUCUGUGUCCUUCUUCUUAUUGCUGAGCCCAGCACAGUUGAUAGCCUUGAGUAUUUUUUUAAAGCUGUUUCUAAAGAUAAACAUUUUGCAAAAAUUCCCAGAAUGCAAGUGCUCAACUUAAUUUGCCCAGAGCUGUACUGUUUGUUGGCAGGCUGUUCCUUUACAGGGGGUUUUAAGUUCCAACUCGAUGUAUCACAUAUUAAUACACAAUCAGAAACUUUUUCUGUGGUCGAGGGUGAAAUCCCUGCCUUACUGAGGUCCAAAGAAACAAAACUUUUAUUGAUUUAGUUCAAUAAUAUUCAGAGGCUAAUCCCAAAUCUCUCGCUCCUUUAUUAAGAACGAUUCUAUCACUGAAAAAAUAUGAACAAAGUUAUAUAGCCUAAUCAAAACAAUCCCCAAAGUGCCUGAGCACACUAACAACAGCUUUAAAACUUGGAUUGUCAUUAGUUUUUCAGUGUCAGUUUGAGAGGCAGAGAGGAGAUAUUUUUUGUUAGCAUGCAGAACUCAGUCUGCCUUCUCUUUCAGGUUAUACUUUUUGAUGUGACAGACAACACACAGGUUCAUCACCACCUUCUUGGCUGCAGCAGGUAAUUUGCUCAGCUCCAUGUGUCAUGAUGACAGCUACCAGACAAGAAUUUUCUUCCUCUCAUGCAAACAGUAGAUGUAUUUUCACUGGACAGGCUGGGAUGUUUUGAUCAAAUAUAAUACUAGAGAGAAAGAGAAAGAGAAAGCAUAUGGGGUGUGCAUACAUAUACACAAAAGUCUAUGUAGUAUAUACACAUACACACCCAUUUAUAUAUACACACACAUCUAUGCAUAAAGGGGUUGCUUAACAGCCAGUAAAAAAUGCCACCUUGCUAUGAGUCUGAUGGGUGUUUUCUUCCACAGAAGCAAAGCGCUAAUCAGGAGAGGAAACAGGAGCUGAAUUACCCCACCCACCUCCAUAGCCCCUGCUAAAGCCAUUUAUCACAAUGUUUCUCAACCUUCUUGAGUUGGCAGCUUUUUAGGACUUGUUUUUGCAACCUUUCACAAAACCUAUUAAAAAUGGUAUAAUAACAAAGUAACAAUAAUACUUGUCUUAAGCACAGGUGUGGUAGGGACACAUGGGAGUUCCCCAGACAGCCAUGGGCUGUCAGAUCUGGCUCCCGGACAGAAAAAGAUUAACUUUGACCAGAAAUGUUGUAAGUAUUCCAGAGCAAAACAAAUUUAGGGGAGUUCAUGGCCAGCACUGUGCAGUGUGUUAAGGUUGUAUUUCCUGAAUAUUGAUUUCGUCAAUUUAAAGUGAGUUACAUUCGAUGAAAGAUAGGUACUGGUAUCAGAAUUGUCAUCUUUUAAUAUUUAUAUUUAAAAAAAUUAAAAUCUCCGUCUUAUUACAUCAGAAGAAAUAAGAGAUGGACAGAAACGGUGUGAAAAUGACUGUAAGAAUUUUUUUUGCCUAGUCAAUGGAAUUUUAGUUCAUUAUUUGGUCUCUAAAUGCUAUUGGAACAAGAACACUUCUGAGAUGAUUUUAUUUGUCAGCCACAAACAUUUUCAGGUAAAAUCAAAAAUAGGAGGACAAAAAAUGCAAGAUAGAUAUUGAAUAUGCAAAUAUUAUUAAGCAACUAUACAAAAUAAAGGUAGAAGGAUUUAGAGUAAAAUUUAAUGUUUCAAGAAGUAUCUGCAGAUCAUUAACUAAAAAAAGAGGCUAGCUAUAACCUGAAUUUAAUUCCAUAGACUUGACUUAUCUGAGGACUACUGUGAAACCUGUUUUCAUAGGGUGUUGAGAAAGCACACAGUUAUGUGUGUCCAGAUGAGUUAGCUUAAAUAUCAGGACACAUAAUAAUGCCAGCAAUUCGUAAUAUCACAGGCACCAACUGUUAAUAACCAACUGGUUAAUAACAAUGUAGGGUACUCCAAUGGUCACCAAUUCUGAACUGUAAGUCUUGGGAUAUUAACUAGAGUUAAUAUACCAUUGGGAUUUUUUAAAAAUAUAUUUUAUUAAAUUAAAGGUAUUUUAAUAUCCUGAAAUACUAAACUCAGUGCCUCCAGAGGCAGAAAUUCAGAACCUCCAGAGGGGUUCAUUGUUUGGAGAGAGUUCCUCUGUAAAGUCAACCUGUUCUGCCAAGGCCAGACAGUACAACUGAACUCCCUGGGACUACUUAAGUAACACCAACAAGCAAGCACAAACUGUAGGACUAUCCCUGGCUGUCACUUAGAGCUGCUUGAGACAUCAGUCCUAUAGAAAACCCCAGAUUCCCCUUGGAUAUACUCAGAUUUUACAGAGUGUAGACAAUAUUAUUCAUAUUGAAAUUUUACUUCACCAGCUACUUAUAUUUUCCCUUAAGCUUAAGCAAAUUUUAGUGCAAUUUUUACUCCUCUCCUGAGGAGACUUCAGAACCAUAACUUACACCUGAUGAAAUUUUUCCUGGCCCUUGCUGGAGAAGAGUGAAAUGAUCCCAUUUUUGGUUAUCGUGUUGUUUUCCACCAUUCUCCUGAGUCUUGUCAUAGCUAACACUCACUUCCCACUGCUUUUUGAAUGGCUUCCUCCCAAACCCCUGCCCCGUUCUCUGCCUUCAGCUGAAGAGCAUUUUGGAGACAGGAAUCAGAGAAGGAAAGGUGUUUUUCUCCUCUGGAAGAGUCACUGUCUCUGAAAGUGUCUCUGGAUAUGGUACUUGGGGAUACAGUUUAGGAGGAUUAUUGUGGUGCUGGGGUGAUAGUUGGACUAGAUGAUCUUGAAGGUCUUGUCCAACCCUGAUGAUUCUGUUAUUCUCAUUAAAAUGAAAGCCUAGAGAAUUAUUUUCUCAGUUUUAUGUUGUGAGAUUGAGAUGUUUUAUGUAGAUAUAGGCAAAUUUCAAACACUGGAAACCUAACUUGCAGCAGUGCACAGGUAAUAUCAUUUUGAUGGUCAUGGUCCUGACUGGAUUUCCUAUUUGUCCCAUUUAUUAGUUGUCCUGUGGUGGUCCCAUAAAUAUUUCUGAAAUAAUCUCUCAAGUGUAUACCAGUUAUAACCGGUAGAAUUGCAAUAAACAGUUCUUAAUGGCCCAGUAGGUUUCUAAUCCAGGUUCAGUAAGCAAUUCCAAACCAAAACCAUUUCUCUGAAAGCAACUUUAUUCUCUAAAUGAGAUUUCAACUGAAAACCUUCAUGUUUAAGCAUAUUAAUUGU